UUGAGAUCGUUGGAUCGUCUUAUAAAAGAGAGCAUUGAAAGAUUAUUAUUCUUUCUUACGAAGAAUCUGAGAGAUAUCAGAAACCUGGCUUUGUAUUUUUAAAAGGCGCGUCUGUAACGUUCCCAGACUAUGAAAAUAACUCGCGCCCUUAGGUAUUUAUGGCGUUACUCCCCGCUGAAUAUCACGAGAUGAGGAAUAAGAGAGCGGGUUAUUCGUAUUUCGGCGUUGAAAGGUAAAAGAAUCAUCGUGCGUUCCGUGAUUUCGUUAAAGAUUUUGAAAUAGAUCCGUGCGAAUAAUUAAAAAGUUGAUUAGAAAAUUUUUUUAUCCUCGACACGAAUUUUUAUUCCAAUUUAUACAUUUUUUCGCACAACUUCCAAAUCCAUUAAUCCAUUAAUUUUGAUCCAUACGAAUUUUCGCUCGAUCGAUACCAGACGCACGACUGUUACGAGAUAGAAAUUUCUAAUUUUAAAUUCAGAGGAGAUCACCUGUGUUCAAUGAUGUACGGUCGUCGCAGGUGGCCUAACGGUUUUUCAAAAGAGAAAAAGAAAAUUGGCCUACACGCGAGGAACGGACGGUUUAAAAUGUCGUCUUGAUAACUCUCUUCCGCUCGCGACCCGUGGACUCGUAAAUCGUGUUAGCAUGACACCGAAACGAAAACCGUCUCGCUUCCAUCUCGAACCGCGUUUUCCACCGCUAAAUGGAUUUAAACGGUCACUAAAUCAGCCUGGUAAAACGCAACGCGUCACGUGGGCAGAACAAGCGUAAUUGCCCGAUCUCGAAACCGAUUUCGUUCUCGUUACACGCCGAUCGUAAAUACUUAUGCGCGCAUAGUCCUCGCGUCGUGUUACGUGUGGGAAUCGGUCGUUCGCUCCCGACUUGUCCACUUUUCCACGCGCUCUGCCGCUCGGUCACGCGGUGUUAGAGGUUAUAGGAGGAAUUUCGCGGACAGAAGUUUCCCUGAACGGUCGCUAGAGAGCAAUUUAUAGCCGCAUUGUGAGUCACUUGUAAUACCGCGGUUAGUUCAAAACUUCGAAUACGGGGACGCUAUAUAUUAAAUGAAUUCUACGCUUGGCGUCGUUUUAUAUUUUGUUGCAGAGUCUUGCUCGUCGGAUUGAAGUGAUUUUAUAAUCGGAUGGGAUAAACUUGUGGAAAAAAUGGACGAAUCGGUCACUUUCGUAUUAUUUAUUCCUUGCUGGUUGAAAUACGUGAUGAUUCGUGGCAAAGUUUUUACAUCUUCUGUUUACUUACUUCUAUUCUCCCAUCGUGUGGGAAACGUCGGAUAGCGAGUGAUGUUUCUCACGGUUUAUAAAAGUAAAUUUUUUCGGAUCGGUCGCAUCCCGGCUGGAGAAUUAAAAUGACAAAGGGUCCGCGUAUCUUUUGUGUAGUUAUCCGUGCUAUGCGCUUUAAAAACACGCUUAGGCAUCCGAGGGAUUUAGCCAGUCGUUGUUCGAAUGUAGUCGACCUCAGACCACGCUUGCGCCGCUUGAAUAGGAAAAGAGCAAUCUGCUGAUACGUCCUCGCAAGAAUUCAUACACCGCCGCCUCGAAAUCCGACGCGUUAUUCUUAACGGGUUCCAGAUUUCCGAAUAACUCGAGAAGAAGUCGACGUUUAAUUCUUCAUCCUUUAAAUAUAUGUACACGGUAUAUAAAACUAUUAGGAGAGAAUUUUAACGUGAAGCUUUUUAAAAGAGAUAUCUUUCUCUUUUUUUAAGUUCUUUUUUUAGGUUAGGAAGUAAGGUUAAGAUAGGUUAGAAUCAAAAUGGUGGUGUAUGUAGAGGUUGAAAAUGGCCGACUUUUCAGUCCCUUCUUUUUAAGAAGAAAGGAGCAAUAUAGAUGUAAAAAAGAUGAUAAAUUUUUAAUAUUUCCAAUUUUUAGAUUAGAAGAGUAGAUAUCUGAAACUAGUUAGCUUUUAUAAUCGGGUAGAUAUAAAGAGGAACAUAUAAUAAAGAAACAAUGUAUUUAUGAGAAUUUGCAAUGUAUCUUACGUUCACUCCUAAAUCUAAAUCACUCAACUUUGACGCUAGAAACCCAGUCAAAUGCCCGUUUCAAUCACGUGAAGCAAUAAAAUUGACAAGUAGGAAGGGGGGAAAAACAAUUCUAUUAAAUUAAACCUCGCAUUAUUAAAGACCAGUGUUCGAAGUUGUUCGGUUUCUAGAGGGAGAAUGUUCGCCAAUUCUCAGACACUGCACAGGGAGGAGGAUAACAGGAUCGCGCUAGGGAAUUUUUUCGCAUGGCGGUUGAACGAGGCUGCUCAAAAAGAAUCCGCCGUGUUUUCCACCGUGUUUGAACCGGAACUAACGGCGUCUGGCUGCUUUAACGCCAGACUAAGAGGUGUGUUCUCGAAAGCGACAAGGAACGCUUAAUUUGCCCCAUCGGAAUACACACAGCUCACUUUUCCUUUCCGUUAAAUCUAGGCUGGUUCUUGUUUCUGUCUGAGAUUCGAUACAUCCUCUCGCGCUCGAAAUAAUUGAUUGGUUGCAGGAAAAUUUCGCGAAACGAACAGAAAGUUUGAUGAUAUAGUCGAAUACGAUGUUCUCAUUGUUACAAAUAAAUUUAGAUGGAGAUUAAGAUAUAGUCUAUGGAAACAUGAAAAUUUGGCCUAAAUUGGUUGCGAUAAAAUGUUGGAUGCAGUUCAGAUUGAGUAAAUUGGGGAACAAAUUUUUUGUUAUUUUGGUUAAUAUUCUUUCGUACUCUCUACUUUCUACUUUUGUUAUCCUGCAAAAUUUCUUUCUUUUUCUUCUAGCUUUGCUCUCUAAAAAAAUUUGGAAUAUUUAACGCGACUUUCUCGUUAAUUUCAGAACAAAAUCUUACAGAUCGCUACCUAAUGUUAAUAAUCUGUCACGAAAUUUCUUUCUUUACUUCUUUAUUUACUUUUCUUCCAAACAUACACGAACAUUUAUUGGGAAAUUUUCGAAAACCUUUUGUCCGCAAACAGUUUGCAACAGUUGCAAGGUUGGAGCCAAGUUGGUUCAAUUUGCAUUUAUGACACGAUUUCUUAUGGAUGCAUGAAUGCAAACAGCAUUUCUCCACUGCUGUGCGUUUCAUAAAAGACGAGAGAGAAAUUUGCGCGAUCGUUUUCGUGAAAAAACACGUGUUUUCAAGAUAUUUCCCCAAGGUGGAGGACACCGUGAUGAAUAAUCGAAUUCGAUAAAUUCGAUAAUGCGAUAGCUUUCGUGUUUCCGCAAACUUGUUGAAUCGUGAUUCGUUGGAAAUAAUAUUUUAUCGUUUCUAGAAAGAAGUUGCAUGAUCGAUAAUUUAACAUUUUAAGCACAUUUUAAAAUAUUUUAUUCCUCUGUCGAAGCUUUGAAAACAGUAAGUGUAGUAAAAAAAUUAAAGGAAAUAAAAGUAAAAGUUGAUAAAACAUACUCGUUCGAAUCGUGUUUUUCAAGUUAUAAUUUAAUUUAAUUUUGGAUUAAAUAAAGCGAAAUAUUAGAUAUGUUUCUUAUUGUGGGACUAAGUUCGGGUUAAUUGAAAGUAACGAGUGAAUUUUUGUUUAGAAAUAGAUCAAAAGUGAAAAAAUUAAGAGAAUAAUUUUAAAAGUCUGACGUAUAAAUUAAAUUAAUGAAAAAUUCCAAUGAGUGAACAACGAAAAUAGAACGAUUACAAUUCGAGUCUUUGUGGGAUCCGGCAUUGCGCAAUAAUCGAAACUAUUUCAAUGAAUCAAAGCGUUAUUUUAUAAAAAUAUGCCGAAUUCUAUUUUUAGAUCAUCGAAAGAAUCAUCAAUAACUCAUUGUUUCCGGUUAAGACGUAAGCCAAAACCUUUAAAAGUUUUUAACAGCUACGUAAACAGAAGAGCUUACGUAAUCAUGUGCAGAAUGUGUAUCGCUCCUGCAAUGGAAUUUUAUAUUUCUCUGCAAACCCGAUAAUUGGCUAUAAUUUAACGGUAACGACUUUAUUGAUUGACUUAGUUAAUGAAUUAAAUAAAAGAAUGUUCGUAAAAAAAAAAACGAUCGUUUCCUUGAAUGGAGCUUAGAUAACGAAUGGUUUAAGCGAGAUGAUAUUUAAUUCCAUCCAAUAAUUCCACUAGAUUUUUCGAUUCCUUUUUUCUUUUUAUAAAAACACGUCAAUAUUUCUUCUAAAUAUAUCUUCUGAAUACAUUUUAUUUUAAGCCGAAACAUUUAUUUAUGAUGAUAUUAUUAAACAAAUUUUAAAUCUAUGUUUGAUACGCGAAUAGUAUACAAAAUGUAUUGUCCAUUUGUAAAAUUUGGAUUAAUAUAAAAUCCCUUCGUUACACGCUUUUUUAAAUCAGGAAUUGCGUGCAAGAGAGAAAAGUGCACAAAGCUCGUGGAGUAUCGAUUAGGGAAGGACUGGCAAACGUGGUUGUCUUAUCUGACAACCACGCGGUAAAACAUGCUGUGUUUACUCUUAUUUAAGGUGAAUCAUUGGAACAACCCAAUCCCUGGUAUCGCGGAACAACACAUUGGAUUCCUUGGAGAUUUGCAAUUAGCAUAGAGGGAGAUUCUCAAUACUCGUGAAAUUGACAGUCAUUGAAACAAAUAUGGUUAGAUGUUCCAGGGUGGUCUCUCUGCAGGCCAUGCUAGCCAGAGCUUUGCCUCGCAAGCGCCGAAAGCUCGUAUUGAUCGCCUUUAGCCCAUUUCGUAUCAAGUUCAAGCGCAAGUCCUUAAGUUUUCUACGAAGGACGAACUCCUUUCUCCUCGAGAACAUUGACGACAUAAAGUGGACGAAGAAGGUUGCUCGAUCGAAAGAACAAGAAGAGAAAGUGCUCUCCUCCCUUUUCUUUUCGUAAUUGUUUCUUGGCAGAAAAGUGACGAUCCUUAAUCAACGUUUCAUUAGGAAAUUUGGGUUAAGUAUACCGGUGCGAGGAAUUUUAAAUGUGGUAAAUGUUAUAAGGGGAUUCAUAAAAUAAUAAUAUAUUAUAUUUAAUAAAAUAAACUUAUUUUUGUUACGGUA